ensembl:lncRNA
CAAAAGGUCAGCCGUGGCUGCAGGGAUUGGAAGCUUUCUGGGUGAGGGCAUCUGCCCACACAGAUUGCUUGCUAGAGGCUGUAGGCAGGAGGCCUCAGUGUCUCACCAUACAGAGAUCUCCACACAGCUGCUUGCUCAUCCUCUUGACAUGGCAGCUGACUUCCCCCAGAGCAAGUGACCCCUGAGAGCAAGACAAAGCUGGAAGCAUCUUUUAUCACCUAGCCUCAGAAGCUACUCUCUGUUACUUGUGCAACGUUCCAUUCUGCUGAGGAUACAAAUCAGCCCAACUCAGUGUGGAAGAGGACAUAUAUCAGCGGUCUACCACAAUGGCUUACUCAUUCAUUCUAUGAAGGGCUUUGGGGUUUUGAGUGUCUAAUUAAGUAUUAGAGCCUGGUGGUACCACAGUGGAGUCAUACCCAUAAGAAGAUGAGGUCCCUCUGCUCCUGGAGAUCAACUUCCAGAAGAGGAGUAGAGAGACCCUAUAAAGAAAUAUGAUGAGAUAAAAAGAGGGGAAAUCAACAUGGUGGAGGAGAGUGAGAUAGAGGAGUUGUUCUCAGAUUCGAGUCUACAUUGGUGUUCACCUCUGUUUACCUGCUGGACAUGGAGCAGGUUGGCCCUCUUUCAUAAACCUACCCUGAAGACUCAGAGCACCAUGGCCAAGUGCAUACUUAGAAGGAAACACUAGGUCUUAGUGCCUUUAGUGGCUGACUGGCACCCUCCCACAAGAAGAGAAUAAAAGAUACAUCCACUUCCUAACCCUCCUCAGAACCUGUGACUGUGACCUCACUUGGGUCUUUGUAGAUGUUAUUAAACUAGGGUCUCAAGAUGAGGUCAUCCUGGAUUAUUCUGUCCCUCAAUCUAAGAACUGCUGCCCUUCUGAGGGACACACAGAGGAGAGGCCAUAGAGAUUGGAAUGAUGAGGCCACAAAAAAUGCCACCAGCCACCAGGAGCUGGGAAAGGCCAGAAAGCAUUCUUCCCAGGAGUCUCCAGAGGGAUCACUGCUCUGCCAGUGCCUGGAGUCCACACUUCUGGCACUGGAACUGGGAGAGAUUCAACUUCUGCUCUUUUAAGUCACCAAGAUUACAGCAAUUUGCUAAGGCAGCCUGGGAAAACCACCACAUGGUGAAAGGGGGUUCCUGGCUCAGGCACAGUGAGCUAGUGUGAGUUAGGAUGCAGGACCCGCAACAGCUUAAAGGAGAUGGAUGCUUAUUGCUGUCUCACACCACAGGCUGACCCUAAGCGGUGAGGGCUGAGAGGGUGUCACGACCUGAGGUUCCAUGAUUACCUAGAAUGAUGAUCUUGUCUGUAAGGGUGACUGAUUUAAUACUGCAACCUGCCCCUCCCUUACCCCUGCACUUUCUAUGCUCACUUUGCUGUUCCCAACUCUUUUUCUUUUUCCUGAAACCACAUCCCUUAACACACUAUAUGUCGUGGCUUCUAUCUAGAUGUCCCCCAAAAGCUUCAUGCCUCCAGAGAUGGGGCUUUUAGAAGGUGAUUUGUUUAUGGGGCAGCAUAGCUGACUUGCUAGGACUUGCUAGGAGGUUGGAUCUGAUCAGAAGAGGUGGUCCCUGGGGGUGCGACCUAGAAGUUUGUCUCUUCCUGUCUCCUCCCUCCACUCUCUCUGCUUCCUGUCUGCCCCACCAUCCUGCCUUGGAGUCGGCCAAUUACAUACUGAAAUGUGAGCCAAAAUAAUCCUCUCCUGCC